rnacentral:rRNA from 1 species
CCCUUAGAUGUUCUGGGCCGCACGCGCGCUACACUGAUGCAUUCAACGAGCCUAUCCUUGACCGACAGGUCCGGGUAAUCUUUGAAUCUGCAUCGUGACGGGGAUAGAUUAUUGCAAUUAUUAAUCUUCAACGAGGAAUGCCUAGUAGGCGCAAGUCAUCAGCUUGCGUCGAUUACGUCCCUGCCCUUUGUACACGCCGCCCGUCGCUCCUACCGAUGGGUGAUCCGGUGAAUGAUUCGGACUUCAGCGGCUCCCCUGGGGUGCGCCGGAGAAAGUUUUGUGAACCUUAUCACUUGGAGGAAGGAGAAGUCGUAACG